GACGAACGCUGGCGGCGUGCCUAAUACAUGCAAGUAGAACGCUGAAGAGAGGAGCUUGCUCUUCUUGGAUGAGUUGCGAACGGGUGAGUAACGCGUAGGUAACCUGCCUGGUAGCGGGGGAUAACUAUUGGAAACGAUAGCUAAUACCGCAUAAAAUUGAUUAUUGCAUGAUAAUUAAUUGAAAGAUGCAACUGCAUCACUACCAGAUGGACCUGCGUUGUAUUAGCUAGUUGGUGAGGUAACGGCUCACCAAGGCGACGAUACAUGGCCGACCUGAGAGGGUGAUCGGCCACACUGGGGCUGAGACACGGCCCAGACUCCUACGGGAGGCAGCAGUAGGGAAUCUUCGGCAAUGGGGGGAACCCUGACCGAGCAACGCCGCGUGAGUGAAGAAGGUUGUCGGAUCGUAAAGCUCUGUUGUAAGAGAAGAACGGGUGUGAGAGUGGAAAGUUCACACUGUGACGGUAUCUUACCAGAAAGGGACGGCUAACUACGUG
rnacentral:rRNA from 1 species